UAGGGAAUUUUCCACAAUGGACGAAAGUCUGAUGGAGCAACGCCGCGUGAACGAUGAAGGUCUUCGGAUUGUAAAGUUCUGUUGUCGGGGACGAACAAGUACCGUUCGAACAGGGCGGUACCUUGACGGUACCUGACGAGAAAGCCACGGCUAACUACGUG
rnacentral:rRNA from 1 species